AACUGCAGCCAUACCACCCUGAAUAUGCCCCCCCAUCUCGCCUGAUCUGGGAAGCUAAGCAGAGUGAGACCUUGUUAAUACUUGGGAGGAAAAACAAAGAUGGAAGCCAGGCUCUGUGUUGU
rnacentral:rRNA from 1 species